CCCGUCUCUCUUACCGGCUCCGAGGUCGCCAUCUUGCCUGUAACGCCGUCCUGCUCGGCAGCCGCCCGUGCGUCACUCGAGCACGCACAAAACUACGGAAGCCUGCAGGACCCAAAGAGAUCUGCGGGAGGUGGUAAAUGAGGAUACAUGACGAAAGGAAGUAACGCCUUGCCUCCUUUAGUCCACAGAUGGAAGACCAGGUAUCACGACCAGACUCUAGAAGGACAUCAUAUUCUACACCCUCUUUCAUCCCUUGCCUUACAGCAAAGCAGCCUGUCAUACAUUUCCAACACAUGUCCGAACUGUGGACUUACUACUGUCCCCUUUUGACAGCGAUCUUGUGGAUUAGGAAGCAGUAUAAGUGUGUGGCACUGUGACAUGUGUAAGCAGCUUCCCAGAGGGACCGACGCCUGGCACAGGUCCCACAGCCAUUACCCACAAACCCACAUAUUUGCGGGAGCUGCUCCGGGCUUCAAGAUCAUCCCCACGACAGGUGAUGCAACAGUUCUAGCAAAGAGAAGCUGAGGCAAUAACUAGGCAGCCGAUGUAAUUGCUACAGCUUGGGACAACGGGGGUCAAGUGAGUCGGCUUUCCAGUCAGAAAUUCAGGCCAACUUUACAGUCCUAUACACCUCUGCAACAUUGGCAUCUAUUUAUGAAGGGCUUCGGAGCAACUUCCUUAAUGAAUGAUCAGGUAGUGGAUCCAAGUGCAGGAACAGCAAGUUUAUUUCCAGAAUCAUGGUCUACAGACUGGUAGAGGGUCAAAAACCAGCUAGAAGCAAAGGAAGGCAAACAAAUCCAAAUGGUGACUCAAACCCAUGGACCAAACACAGGUCACAAACACAAUAUGCUCAUGGAAGUAUUACUUACACAAAGAUGUUCUGAGGGCAGAACGAAAAAUUACUGGUUCAGAGUGAUAAUAAUCAGAUAAGGAGGUGGGUUCAAGCAAUUAGAGGUGGUGGGAUCAAGACAUCUGUUUGAUUGGUCCCGCCUCCUCUAGUUGCCUGGACCCACUUCCUGUACAACCUGACUGGUUAUCUCUCUGAACCAAUAAUUUUUUUGUUCUGCCCCCAGGACAUUUUUGUGUAAUUAAAAUUCAGAUGAACAUUCAAUAUAGGGAGCACAGGGGAAAAUAACCAAAUCCAAAGAGCAAGAAAACCAGGAAAGCCAGCAGGAGUCAUAAAAAGCCAAGGGUAGAGUUAGCCAGAUGCUUUUACUCCAUGACAAUUAACCAGGCUGACGAGCUACAGAUAGAGGCACAGGUAGGAAUUCUGAGCCCCCUUACAAAAUGUCACUUUGGGCCACCAUGACCAAUUUUACAUAUAGUUGUACACAUUCAAGGGACCCUGUAAAGUUCUGAGCAACCUGACUCUGCCAGGGUACCCAUGCCCCUACAGGUGGGUCUAGUAUUCAGGAGAGGUGGGACCAGCACUGAGAGAGCGUGGCUGGAUGGGUGCUGAGAUCAAUGUGGCCUUGGCAUCUGCAUUGGGUGGAACACUUUAAAAAUACAUUUAUUUGAUCAACAAAUGUUUACUAAUGGUGGCAGCAUGGUGGUGCAGUGGUUAGCACUGUUGCCUCACACCUCUGGGACCCAGGUUCCAGUCUCCGCCUGGGUCACAUGUGUGUGGAGUUUGCAUGUUCUCCCCAUGUCGUCGUGGGGUUUCCUCCGGGUACUCCGGUUUCCCUCCACAGUCCAAAAACAUGCAGAGGCUAAUUGUACUUGCUAAAUUGCCCAUAGGACUGCAUGGGUGAGUGGGUGUGUGAGUGUGCCCUGCGAUGGGCUGGCCCCCCAUCCUGGGUUGUUCUCUGCCUCGUGCCCAUUGCUUCCAGGAUAGGCUCCGGACCCCCCGCGACCCAGUAGGAUAAGAAGUUUGGAAAAUGGAUGGGAUGGAUGGAUGUUUACUAAUUCUUAAAUUGGUUUUAUUUCCUUUUGAAAUUGGGUUCUUAUACAUCAUAAAUGCAAUAAACACUUCUUACAAAUUUCAUACAUGGUAUGUAAUUUAUACUCUUAGAUAAAGCAGAUAAAUAUAUGAAAUGUGUUAACACAGACUGUUAGAUUUAACAGUUUAUUAAGGGCAGCUGGAAGCAACAGAUGGCUGUUCAUCACUGUGAGAUGCACAGGCUACAUACAUAGACGGCGGGGAGGUGAGGCAGCACCACGAUGCUCAAAACCCAACAUAAAUGUAUUCUGCUUUUGUCAGUAGAGCACAUUUUUCUUCCCUGUACUGAUGACCCAGCUCAUAGUUAUGCCUCAGCAGGGCAGGAAAGUGGUAAGUAUCCAGCCCAACAUGCUGCCACAAUUGCUCCAGAGCCACACCAGCAUAGCAACACUGACCUCAUGGAUCAUAGGGGACACCUAGACCCCAGAACCAUUCCAGCAUAGCAACACUGAUCUCCUGGACCAUAAGGGUCACCUAGGCCCCAGGACCACACCAGCAUAGCAACACUGACCUCCUGGAUCAUACGGGACACAACAGGAAGCAACAGAAUAGCAAUAUUGAGCAAUUAUACAGAACAGAGCAGUAAUUAGAAAGCAUGUGAUCUAGGGCUGAAGAGUAAGGAGCUGUGGCCUGUUA